rnacentral:lncRNA from 1 species
AGAAGACCUCUAAAUAUCCACACCCACUAGUGUAGUGAGAUGGAUGGAGGAAUAACCAAAAGGGUGAAAAAUUGUUAGCUAAAACACCCUCAAGGUGGCCGGCCUUUUGUGGUUUUUAGAGGAAUGUUUCUUUUGCCUCUUUGUUGUUUUAAAACACACAAAAAACCCUAAGGAUUAAAACUCUAUAAAGUUCCUUAUAUAGACAAAAAGAAACCUAGUCAACAACUUGACUAAAUAUCUCUCCCAAACCCUUUAAGUGGCCGGCCCUUUUGUGUUUGGUUUGGGCUUUGGGCUUUUAUUAUUUCAAGUCAUCCUAUGCUUGAAUAAAAGCCCAAUGGGUUUAGGCCCAAUGGGCCCAAUAAAACCCGAACAUUUCUUUAAGCCCAAAACGAUCUUUAUCACUUUUAUGAUUUCUUUCAGACUGUCUAAAUUAAUCACAACACUUAAUUAAUCCAAUUAAUUAUUCCUUCAUCCAUUAAUUACUCACUACAAUAGUGUGUCGGUGUACAAUCAUUUUAGGUUCUAAUUAGCAAGGCAGUGAGGUGAUUGACAUCAAUCCAAUUGAUUAUAUUUAAUCCAAUCACUUAGUGAAUUAAAACUUCCUUUUGAUUCACCUUUCUUCUUUGAUGACUACAUUUAAUCAUCUAGAAGAACUCACAAGCUAUGAGUGACAUCUAACCAUAUGUCAUAGCUACCCAAGCUAAUGUAGAAGUUGUUCAGAGAACCUAUUCAGUUGGAAUUACAAUGUAAUUCGAUCAUUCUCUAAAACAAUACUCUCAAUCACAUUACUAGGGUAUGGAUAUAUAAUGUUAAACCCCUAAUGUGAUUAUUCCUUCUUAUAUGAUUCAAUUGAGUCGUAUAGGAACGCUUUCCUUUAUUACGCUCGAUACUUCGGCCGAAGAUUCCCGAAUCAUAUCUUAGAGUAUUCUUCCUCUCUUAUCGAGGAUUAGAGAUUCCUAGUUGCGCAUUCACUUGCCUUCAUGACUAAGUGGCUUAACCCGAAUUAUGCCGUGGACAUCCGCGAAUGGGGUGACUUUGACACAAUCAAAGAUUAAGUACUUAGCCACAAGACAACGACGAUGCCUCAGGUCAAAGGACUAUUUACAUUAUUCCAACCAUUAGAGUUACUUGCUUGACAUGUGAGUAGACCUCCAUGCAAGUACUCUCAUUCGAUUGUGUUCAGUGAACUCAUUCCCUUAAUGAGCACCUACAUACUUGUCUUAGUGUCACUACACAAAUGGGAUGAGACUUUCCAUUCUUCCAUUUGAAGCGGACACAGUAUGUACCGGUCUAAGCAUUGUCAGUAUCCCUCCAACAAUCCAAUGACCAGGAACCUUUUUGGACAUAAUGGUUAUAUGAAGAAGGUCUCUGUAGUCUAACAUCAUUAGAUUACUUCUUCAAUCGAUCCAUUGUCCAUAGAUUCAUUAAUUAGGACAUAUAUCGUUGAUUGAGAUAGUCCUAAUUAGUAUCUUUGCCAUUUGAUGUAUAAGAGUCAUCCAUACAUCGAUUCAUUUGUCCUGAAAGGUUUCUUCCAAAGAUUGACUUUCAGGGCAUAUUUCCAACAUGAUGUAGCUAGGUACACCAUAUAAGUGGAUGAUAUGCUCCUUGAUGAAACGGACGAC